rnacentral:rRNA from 1 species
CCUACGGGAGGCAGCAGUGGGGAAUAUUGCACAAUGGGGGAAACCCUGAUGCAGCGACGCCGCGUGAGUGAAGAAGUCUCUCGGUACGUAAAGCUCUAUCAGCAGGGAAGAAAAUGACGGUACCUGACUAAGAAGCCCCGGCUAACUACGUGCCAGCAGCCGCGGUAAUACGUAGGGGGCAAGCGUUAUCCGGAUUUAUUGGGUUUAAGGGGUGCGCAGGCGGGCUGUUAAGCCGGCCGUAAAAAUUGAGGGCUCAACCCUGUCGAGCCGGCGGAACUGGCAGUCUUGAGUGGGCGAGAAGUAGGCGGAAUGCGUGGUGUAGCGGUGAAAUGCAUAGAUAGCACGCAGAACGCCGAUUGGGAAGGCAGCAUACCGGCGCCCGACUGACGCUGAGGCACGAAGGCGUGGGGAUCGAACAGGAUUAGAUACCCCGGUAGUC